CUCGCCAGGUUGAGCAUGCAGAAGGUGUUCCAGACUCCGGGCAGCCUGCCGGCCCAGGUCCAGGCCCAGGUGGCUAUAGGCUACGGGCUGGAUGACUCAGGUUAAGUUGUGCUAGACAAACAAGCCAGUAUUCUCAACCCAGCAGGGUGACGACUGUAAUUAGCUUCCUUGUCGUCCUUAUCCCACCUCGUUCAGAGGGUGGGCUUGCCGGGCCCGGAGCCAAGGCCCGAGGAGAUGGGCAGGAAUGUGGUUAUCUUGGUCUGUGUCUUGUUGCCCAAGAUGCCGUCUGAUGCUUCUAGAGCUGGGCUGGGAGCCGAGCCAGCAGCACCUGCAUUGUCUGAUGAUGUCACGAAGGCUGCUGGGCUAAGAGAGCCUACCUCGGAGUAAGAGAAAGGGGAAGAAAUUCCGGGAUGUCUCUUUCUCCUGAGCCCAACGUCUCUUCUUUCACUGCUCCCUUCUCUCAGGAGACCCAGAAGGCCAGGCAAAGUGGAGAAAUGGCCAGCGAGACAACUGGGCUGGACCCAGUAGGGGAGCUGAGUGGCCAGAUGUCCAGCUAAGGAUUCCCAUACCUGCCUUGUUUAAAUAAUACCACAAAAAAUUAGCUGUGUAUUUUUAAACAUUUUUUAAAGGUUUAUCCAUUUUUCAGAGACAGAGAGAGACAGAACGUGAAGGGGAGAGGGGCACAGAGAGGGGGAGACACAGAAUCCGAAGCAGGCUCCAGGCUCUGAGCUGUCAGCCUAGAGCCCGACGCGGGGCUCGAACUCACGGACCGUGAGAUCAUGACCUGAGACGAAGGCAGACGCUCAACCGACGGAGCCACCCAGGUGCCCCUGCUACACGUUUUGGUUGUUAUCAUUUUUUUUUUUUUUUACAUUUAUCUACUUCGCUUCUCAAAACAUCCCGACGAUCUAGCUACUUGCAUUAGCCUCAUUUUAUAGAUGGAGAAACUGGGGCACAGAGGAGCUGGCUUGGAUGCACACAGGUGGUAAGCAACGAAUCUAGAAUCUGAACCCAGGCAACCGAGCCCGAGCCCGUGCUUGUAACUCGCACAAUCCUGCCUCUCUCCUGCUGUCAUCAGGGUGUACAGGGAGCGGCACACAGCACCUCAGGAUGCAAGGCCUGGCCCACUCACAACACCCACGGUGUGAUCUUAGCUGUCACCCUGGCCUCCAGACUCCUCCCUGUAGAAGCAGAGGUAGUGGAGGGGUUAUCGAGCCAAAGGGUCUUUCCAAUGGGAGUUGCUAGUUCUAUGGCUCUGGUCCACAUGGAACAGCACUGGGGAAAGGUCCUGCUCUUCUCCUCUGAACAGCCCACGGGAAGUGUUUACUCCUGAUUAUCAAGGACAGCCUCGAGGGCAUUUCAGCAGGGCAGUGAUAAACUCGCGGCCUGGUGCCCCUGACUAAUGGAGCAAAGCUGCUUCCCCACUCCAUACCUCAGUUUCCCCCACUGGGCUCAGUGGAGACAAUGACCUCUUUGUGCUCAGUGCUACAGUGAGUCAUGGUUAAUUACCAUUAGUCACAGGCUUUGGAAUCCUCACAAGAAAAGGGUCAUCUGCUAGGUCCGGGCCACACUGCGGUCAUGAUGAGACACCAUUCUGGCCCAUGCCCCUAUGAGCAUGUCUUCAAAGCGUCACUAGUGGCUUGCCUAGCUUUGUGGGUUGACCCCGAGGUGACCCAGCUCCGAGUGCUGGUGCUGAGACUGGCAGGAGAUGACCCCUCAGGAGGGCUACCGCAUGUGUGCUGAUGUCCCUGCCAGUGGCUGAUCGUCCCCUGGGUUUCCUCUUACAGCUGAAUUCCUAUUCCAAUCUGCUUCUCAACCGUGCUCCUCUCUCUCGCCUCUAAUCCCGGACACAGGGUCCUAACCCUAAGUUUUUUUUUUUGUUUUUUUUUUUUUUCCUUCUCUGGCUCCUCAAUAAACAUCCAUUCUAUUUCUCUGUCUCCCUACUCACUGUCUCGUGUUUUCAGUCCAUCUCUUUUUCCAUCCUAGUACAAGCCUAUGGUAGAAACAAGGCAGCUUCAGCCUGUAAGGAACAUCAGUUUGGUUAAGAGAGAAGACCGGUAGCAAAGCAAGGACAAUGGGAGACUGAUGCUGAAAAUGAAAAUAAGCCACUUGAGAAAAUAAGAGCAGUAAUGUCUGCCACUGGCGAUCUGUUAGUCGUUCAUACAAAGCGGGGAGACAAGGUUUGUCUGGUCUCUCUCUGUUCCUGCUAGAAUUCAGAAAGCCUGCAAGGAAGUCAGAUGCGGAGCAUGGGGGCCAUCUAGCGGCUCCUGGCAGGUACUGCUGCACCACCGCUCAGCACCGAGGCCACGCAUCUGAUGAUUCGCAAGGAGGCUACGGGGACCUCAGCUCAGACCUCAGCUCUUCCGGGACGCGGCAUGAUGGUUAAGGAGGGGAGACCUUCUAGUCACUUAACAUCUGCUAAGUCGCUUUUCACUUGACAUACAAUUUCCUCGAAUCUACAAAAGAAUCUAUCACGUCCACUUUCUUCCCUUAUUAGAGGAGUAACUGAAAUCCAUGGAAGACCAAGACCACGGCACAGCCGGAAGGUCUCAGGGCAAAGAUGUAAAAGGCAUGUCAAUAGAAAGAAACGGGAUGAUGGGCAAUGUGGCCCAAACCUAGGUGGUAAGGGUUAAAAGGACAGUGUUCAAGUGGUGGUUUGCUUCUGUAGAAGCGGCCAUUUCUUUUCUUCGUUAAUGUGGCAACAACCACCACCAAAAAAGCACACAUAACAUAAAACAUACCAUCUUAACCAUUUUUUAGAGUAGUGUUGACUACAUGCAUACUGCCGUGCUCAGAUCUCUAGAACUUCUUCAUCUUGCACAACUGAAACUCUAUACCCACUGAACUUCCCCCUUCUCCCGGCACCUGGUAACCACGUUCUACUUUCUGUUUCUGAGUCUGACUCCUUUAGAUCACAGUGGAAUCACACAGUUUUUGUCCCGGCUUCUUUCCUUCGGCAUAAUGUCCUCAAGGUUGAUCCAUGUUGUAGCGUAGGACAGGAUUCCUCCUCUUUAAAUGGCUGAAUAAUACUCCAUUGUACAUAUACCCCAUUUUCUUUAUUCAUUUGUCCAUGGACAUUCAGUUUGCUUCCAACUCUUGGCAACUGUGAAUAAUGCCGCAGUGAACGGGCAUGGCCCGUGAACAGGCAUGUGAAUGGGCAGUGAAUGGGUGUGUGGCCAUUUCUUUGUUAACAGCUAUGAAGAGAGUCCGCUCACAAAAGGACGGGCUAGAGUCCACAGCGGAGCGAAGGUGGCUUGAAGGUGAACGGAAGGAAGGGAGGGAAGGAGGGCACAGCUCCCUCUAUAUCCUUGACUGUAGGAUUUACGACAGGUCACCCUCCUGCCCAGUCUAUAAACUGUGAAAAGCGAUACCACUAUGAGCCGGUAAGCUACAAAGAAUGGGUUUUGCAUAUUUGUUUGCAUAUAAAAUAUUUACCAGAAUGAGGUAAUACAUUACUUGGCCAACUUUCAAGAUAAAGCUUUAUUAUUAUUCUGUCUGAACACUCCCACUUACUGCUAUUACUUCUUUUGUUUCUCACCUACCUUCUAUCACAGGCAUACAAAACAGAACAGGAAAAACAACAAAUAUGAAAACUUAGAUAGCUGGGGGUGGAGAGAACAUAAAGUGACCAGAAACCUUUGCUAGGCCACGGACUACUGAUUGUAGAAUUACAAAGACAAAGGAGACCAUUUUUUUUUUUAAAUAUAUGAAAUUUAUUGUCAAAUUGGUUUCCAUACAACACCCAGCGCUCAUCCCAAAAGAUGCCCUCUUCAAUACCCAUCACCAACCCUCCCCUCCCUCCCACCCCCCAUCAACCCUCAGUUUGUUCUCAGUUUUUAAGAGUUAAGGAGACAAUUUUUAAAUUAGCCACACAAGCGGUAGGGUAACGAUUAAAAAAAAAAAAAUCCAAAGAACGUCACACGUCCCAUUUUAAUACAUGAGCUUUUUAUUCUCUCAAGUUUUCUUCUAGUCGUGGCCAUGUAAACCACAGCGGAGGUACAUGCCCUUGCACCGUUUUCCACACAUGUCACAAACAACUUUCUGCCCCGUGACGGAUUUAUUACAAUGAUCAUUUUAAGAGUUCGAAGUGUGUUCCGCCGAUUUGCACUCUGUGGAGUUAAUCACUCUUCAACCGUCAGAUGGUUAAGUUACAUUCAACUUUUUAUGAUAAGUAAGCAUGUGCUGAACAUCUUCCGGUAGAUCACUUUUUCUCUUUUGAACUAUAUUCUUGGUUAGGAGGCAGAUAGCAGAGUGUUAGGAAAGCAAUGAACUUCUGCUUUAAUUUCCUCACUCGUAAAGUAGAGAUAGUAAUGUGACUUCCUCAUAAGCUUGUUCUGAGGCUUCAGUGAGGUAAAACAUGUGGUGUUUAGAAAGGUGGGUACCAAUAGCCCUUACAGGGAAUGACAGCUAUCUGUAGCAGUAGUAAAUUCAAUUUUCAGGGGUUCUCCUGUUCCAGAAUGUUCUUCUCUGGCUCAGGUCGCACGAGAGAGGCGGGCUCCGGCUGCAGUCUCUGCCUCUCGAAAUGGCUCGAAACCCACCCUGCCACCCAGGCACUCACAUGUGUGUUUCCUUCUCCUUUGGUCCUAGUUAGGCUGGACAAGACUCGCUAGGAAAUGGGCACGGAAGCUAAACAAUGAUCUUCUUAUCUCUGGGACCUUGGUUUCCUCAUGAGAACGGUGGGGUCCUGGAGGUAAACCUCCUUCCUGGUCAGACAUUUUAUGUUCCUACCCCCAUCCUCUCGAUGGCUGUUCCUCACCUACUGUGGGCAACAGGCCCAUUCCCCCCACCCCACCCCCCCCACACCNNNNNNNNNNNNNNNNNNNNNNNNNNNNNNNNNNNNNNNNNNNNNNNNNNNNNNNNNNNNNNNNNNNNNNNNNNNNNNNNNNNNNNNNNNNNNNNNNNNNNNNNNNNNNNNNNNNNNNNNNNNNNNNNNNNNNNNNNNNNNNNNNNNNNNNNNNNNNNNNNNNNNNNNNNNNNNNNUCCUGGUCUUCCUAAUUGGCUUCAGUUCCCCAACAGACCAGAGAGGCACCAAGGAAAGAAAAACAGUGACCACCAGCAACACUUGAGCCACAGCCAUGAGAGAGAAGAGAGAAUGGGAGGCAGAUGGAAUGAGUGGUCUCUAAUUAGAGACACGGCAUCUACUUCGGAAGGCAUGGGUCAGCUGACCCCGAUGACCGCUACAUAAAGCCAAAGAAAACCCAGGGUAGGAAUAAAACUAAAAAUAGCAAGGAAAACUGAGGAGGAAGUGUUUGUACUUUUGCUGCUGGUCAAGCUGUACGUGCAGCUGUUUUUGUUGCUAGGGUGGAAUAGGGUGGGAAGGGAUUUAAAAGCUGGCUCCGAGGGAGCCACGACUGGUCUAAGGGCUUGACGAAUGAGGAAAGCCCCCAAACGGCAUGUUGCACCCACUAAAUCGAUUAAAGUUGGCUAAAAUUUAAAAAGAGCCGGACUCACCUCUGGAUGCCAGCGUCCCACGGGCAGUUGCAAGAUAGUCCUUUCGGCUGUGAGGGGCAGAUCUCAACUCUGUGCUCAGGAAAGGAGGAUCACAGAGUCACCACGCUGGAAGUUAGUCCCAGCUGUAUGACCAUGGAAAGAUCAGAAGGGUGGGAAACACGGAUUUAACUGCAACUCUGCCACAUUCUAGCUGUACGACAGCACUUAUUGUUAAAUGUCAUUGAACUUCAAUCUUUCCCAAAGCUACUUGGAUGGGAAGUGCAACCUUUGCUAAAACAGAAUCCUUGAGGGGCACCUGCGUGGCUCAGGUCAUAAUCUCACGGUCUGUGGGUUGAAUCCCACGUUGGGCUCUGUGCUGACAGCUCUGAGCCUGGGGCCUGCUUCAGAUUCUGUGUCUCCCUUUCUCUCCGCCCCUCCCCUGCUCAUGCUUUGUCUCUGUCUCCAAAAUAAAUAAAAACAUUAAAAAAAAAUUUUUUUUAAACAUAGAAUCCUUGAGACCUUGGUGGACCAAAACAGUAAAAGGAGAAGCCGAAGGCAGGGAGGACUGCCCAAAUGAGGGCGUCUAAAUGACCCAGAAUAGCAGGGGGUCUCCAAGAUACGGCCACCCACCCUGAUGCUGGGACCAAGACUGCAAAAGAAGGUUCUCACCUGCGAAGUAGAUAGGAAGGCAUUGGAAGUUCCGUUUGCUGGCAGAUGAUGAACACAGAGAUUCCACAGCAUCCCCAUAAGCUGCCUAGUGUGGCUAACGAAAGUAGGAAAGUUCCCUACAAUGAUGGCUUAUAAUGCCACCUUGGAGGAUGGUAAAGUAGCAAAAAUGAAAUUUUAGGCACUUAUCUUUAAAAAAAAAACACAACAGGGGCGCCUGGGUGGCGCAGUCGGUUGAGCGUCCGACUUCAGCCAGGUCACGAUCUCGCGGUGCGUGAGUUCGAGCCCCGCGUCAGGCUCUGGGCUGAUGGCUCGGAGCCUGGAGCCUGUUUCCGAUUCUGUGUCUCCCUCUCUCUCUGCCCCUCCCCCGUUCAUGCUCUGUCUCUCUCUGUCCCAAAAAUAAAUAAAAACGUUGAAAGAAAAAAAAAAUUAAAAAAAAAACACAACAACUUUCAUUUAUCUUGAGAGAGAGCACGCNNNNNNNNNNNNNNNNNNNNNNNNNNNNNNNNNNNNNNNNNNNNNNNNNNNNNNNNNNNNNNNNNNNNNNNNNNNNNNNNNNNNNNNNNNNNNNNNNNNNNNNNNNNNNNNNNNNNNNNNNNNNNNNNNNNNNNNNNNNNNNNNNNNNNNNNNNNNNNNNNNNNNNNNNNNNNNNNNNNNNNNNNNNNNNNNNNNNNNNNNNNNNNNNNNNNNNNNNNNNNNNNNNNNNNNNNNNNNNNNNNNNNNNNNNNNNNNNNNNNNNNNNNNNNNNNNNNNNNNNNNNNNNNNNNNNNNNNNNNNNNNNNNNNNNNNNNNNNNNNNNNNNNNNNNNNNNNNNNNNNNNNNNNNNNNNNNNNNNNNNNNNNNNNNNNNNNNNNNNNNNNNNNNNNNNNNNNNNNNNNNNNNNNNNNNNNNNNNNNNNNNNNNNNNNNNNNNNNNNNNNNNNNNNNNNNNNNNNNNNNNNNNNNNNNNNNAAAAAAAUUUAAAAAGGGGCACCUGGAUGGCUCAGUCAAUUAAGCGUCUGACUUCAGCUCAGGUCAUGGUCUCACGGUUCGUGAGUUUGAGCCCCCCCAUCNNNNNNNNNNNNNNNNNNNNNNNNNNNNNNNNNNNNNNNNNNNNNNNCCCUCGCUCUCUGCACCCCCCCCCCAUGCUCUGUCUCUCUCAAAAAUGAAUAAACGUUAAAAAAAACAAAUUAAAUCAGGAAAAGUGGGUUUCUAGAGAGGCCAUGCCAGAAAAGGUUAUAGGAAGAACUCACAAGAAGAACAAGUAAUAGCCCAGGGCUGAAGUGAUGUCCUAAUGUGUGGAAGAGACCAGCAGCUUUAGGAAGAAAUUCGUGAACUCAAUGCCAUCUUUAUCUGUCAGGGUUCUCUAGGAAAACAGAACAGGCAGAAUAUAUAUAGACACAUACGAAGAGAUUUAUUAUGGGAACUGGCCCACACAAUGACAGAGGCUGAGGAGUCCCCUCCUCUGUCUCACGCAAGCUGGAGGCAAGCUGGUGGUACGGUUCCAAUCCAAGCCUGAAGGCCCGAGAACCAGGAGGUCCGAGGUCCAAGAAUAGAAGAUGAAAUGUCACAGCUCAAGGGAAAAAAGCAUUCACCCUUCCUCUGUAUUUGUUCUGUUCAAGCCCUCAAUGGAUUGGAUGAUCCCCACGCGCACUGGUGAGGGCGAUCUUUACUCCUUCACCAAGUCAAAAGCUAAUCUCUCCCCGAAACAUCCUCACAGAUACGUCCAGCAAUAAUGUUUUGCCUGCUAUCUGGGCAUCCCUCAGCCCAGUUAAGCUGACACAUAAAAUUAAUCAUCAUGGGGCGCCUGGGUGGCUCAGUGGGUUGAGAGUCCGACUUCGGCUCGGAUCAUGAUCUCACGGCUCGUGGGUUUGAGCCCCGCAUCGGGCUCUGUGCUGAUGGCUUGGCGCCUGGAGCCUGCUUCGGAUUCUUUGUCUCUCCCUCUCUGCCCCUAACCCACUCGCAUUCUGUUUCUCUCUCAAAAAUAAGUAAACGUUUAAAAAAAAAUUUUUUUAAGUCAAUCAUCACGCCCUCUGGGAACACCCAUUACCAUUUGAAAGUAUACUCAGUACAGGCUAGGGGAGUAUGUACCAGAAACUUGAAACCGGUAGCCUCAAGCCUCAGGUACGCGGUGACACAGGCUGACGAUAAGGUGGAUGGCUUCACCUCCACACAGCUCUCUAGAUGGCGGACAUUUGAAACAAUGAGCCUUGACUUCAACAUACUGGAUCCUCUUCUCCGGUCCUCUGGAACAUCAUUUCUAGACAGACACUAACCCCAAAAUGUUAAACAAUACAACUAUUUUCUUCCCUCCCCACCUGGAUUCUUGAUCUUGAAUGGCUGGCCAGAGACCUCGAGGUCACCCGAUUGCUCCUUUUUCUUCAUGCCCAGACUGUUCAUGUUGAAGUUGUCCUGACAUUAUUCUCAAGCCACCCUCUGUCCUUGCCAUCGUACCUCCCUUAGAGCCUUCCUGUCUCCCCUGAUGCGUGCUAUCCACACACACCAGAAUUAUCUUCCUAAGCACUAAUGUCACUUCCCCGCUCAAAAACUCUUCAAUGAGUUUUCCGUUUUCCAACAGAAUCAAGACCACGCUCCUCAGCAGAACAUACAAGAUUCCUAUCUGGCCCAACUUUUAUUUUCUUUUCCUCUCUCUUCUAUCCCUCAGUGCAAAGGUCUAGCCACAGCAGAACACCUGCUCUUUCAGGAACACGUGAAAUUCUGCUCAUUUGCUCAUAACAUUCCUUUAGCCUCAAAUGUCCUUAUUUCAUUAAGUGUCUAUCGUGAGCCAGGCAGUUUCAAGUGCUGACAUUAUAAAAAAGACAGACAAGGGGGCGCCUGGCUGGCUUGGCUGGUAGAGCAUAGGACUCUUGAUCUUGGGGUCAGGAGUUUGAGCCCCAUGUGUGGGGGUAGAUUUAAAAAAAAAAAAAAAAAAAAAAGAGGGACAAGGUCCCAGUUCUCACAGAGCCUACAUCUCCCACUCAUCUCCAGGUCCAGCUCAAAUCUAUACCUUCCUGAAAAUUCUCUCCAAUUCCAUACGUGAGAGUUGAUUGUUAUUUUUCUUAAACAGGCUCUAUGCCCAACGUGGGGCUUGAACUCACAACCCUGAGAGCAAAGGGUCGCAUGCUCUACCAACAGAGCCAGCCAGGCGGCCCUCGCUUCUUUGGCUAUACUAAUUCUUCCAGAGUAUUGAGCACUCUGUCUUGUGCAACAGGUGUAUACAAACGUGACUUUCAGCCUGGGAGACAGACUCCUUGAGGGUGAAGGACCUUUGCAUUACCCAAGGGCUUGUACAGGGCCUUGCACACGGAAGAGACAAUGUUUCUUGAAUUGCACAAAGCCCACCCCAAACUGCUUCCAUUUAUACUUUAAACACACACUCAUAAACAAAACUUGUGGAGCUUUGUCUUUUUUAAAGAAAUGUGACUCUUUUCCCUGGAGGGAGGUAUAAAUUAAAAAUUGCAGUGGAAGGGCACAUGGAUGGCUCAGUCAGCUGAGCAUCCAACUCUGGAUGCUCUUGGCUCAGGUCAUGAUCUCAUGGUUCAAGAGUUCAAGCCCCACAUAGGGCUUGUGCUGACAGUGCUUGGGAUUCUCUCUCUCCCUCUCUCUCUCUGCUCCUUCCCUGCUGUGUGCACUCUCUCUCUCAAAAUAAACUUAGGAAGAUUAAAAAAAAAAAAAUCUCUCUCUCCCUCUAUCACUCUCUAGAUCACAAGUGUGUGCACUCUCUCUCUAAAAAAAAAAAAAAAAAAAAUGCAGUGGAAAGACUUUUAAAAAUUUACCCACAUUAUUAUAACCUGGAAUUAGGGUUGCAGUCCUUUUGAAGACCUUGUGUUAAUGAUUCUACACCACUCCUAAAGUGGUGACCUAGAUGACAGGAGCUUCCAGAGAGCAGACUUCAAACUCACUUAGUCGCCAGUCAGCAAAGGGCUUACCCCCUGGGCCCAAAGGCUCAUGUCCAUGAACAUUAGAGAGCUGCCCGGCAGUGUGCCCCUCUAAGGAGACCACGGGGCCUGACAAGGCACGCUCACGCUGAAGGCAAAAGAGCACCCCUACAGAAUAACCUGGAAGCAGCCUCUCCUGGCCUCAGCCACUGACAGGGGCUUCAUUCAGAAGAGAUAUCAACACUAUUUACCCUUUUAAAAAUUAGGAUUGAAAAAUGACAAAUUAGAAAAUCUGACAUGCAUUAAAAAAAGGGACUCUCGGAGGGCACCUUUUGGGAUGAGCACUGGGUGUUGUUUGGAAACCAAUUUGACAAUAAAUUUCAUAUAUUAAAAAAAAAAAAGGGACCCUCCUUCAAACUAAAGAGAUUUAUGUAACCCAUGAUCUUGAAUUGGAUCCUGGUUUAGACAAAUCAAAUGUAAAAACAUUCGGAAUACCCAGGCAUUUUGCAUAUGGACUGGGUAUUAGAUGAUAAGAGAUCGUUAAUUUUCGUUGGGUAAAGAAAAUAGAAAAAAUGUAUUUAGAGACGGAAACCAAAGUUUUAGCAGGGGCAGAAUAUUGUGAUGUCUUAUUUUCUUUAAGAUACUGGAGUAUAAAAGUGAGUCCUAAUUGGUCAAGCGUCUGACUUCGGCUCACGUCAUGAUCUCGCAGUUCGUGGGUUCGAGCCCCACGUCGGGCUCUGUGCUGACAGCUCCGAGCCUGGAGCCUGCUUCGGAUUCUGUGUCUCCUCCUCAUUCUGCCCCUCCCCUGCUCACUCUCUAUCUCUCAAAAAUAAAUGUUAAAAAAAAUUUUUUUAAAAAGUGAGUCAUAAAACAAACUACAGUUACUCAAAGAAAAUAUGACAUUUCAGAGAAAUGUCCCUUUAUCAGCUUUCACGGUCCCUUUAUCAGGGGGCAGUCUUAUUUAGACGGGAAAGGUCAGGGUCAAUCUUCACCACAGAGACUGAUGCUCACCAGCAGCAGUGAAGGAGCCUGGGGGAGUCCCUCUCGGGGGGAGCCAUGUACCGGAAGGCACGUGGAGAGGGUGUCUCUCCUGAAGGACCUUCCUCCCUCACCUUGCCUAUUGUUGUCAAAGUGAACACAGAACACGAACAGCCUACCAUUCACUGUAACACAUCAGGAGAUCUCCCGGUGACAUAAUGAACACUCUCUGGUUCAGAAAUACCUCUUUGAGGGGCGCCUGGGUGGCUCAGUGGGUUAAGCGGCCGACUUCGGCUCAGGUCAUGAUUUCACGGUCCGUGAGUUCGAGCCCCGCGUCGGGCUCUGUGCUGCCAGCUCAGACCCUGGAGCCUGUUUCAGAUUCUGUGUCUCCCUCUCUCUGACCCUCCCCUGUUCAUGCUCUGUCUCUCCCUGUCUCAAAAAUAAAUCAAGUGUUAAAAAAAUUUAAAAAAUUAAAAAAAAAAAAAAAGAAAGAAAUACCUCUUUGAUGAGAAUCACAAGCAAAUUUCAGGCUUUGCGGCCAAUCUGAAAACGAAAAUUUUGAUUCUGCCUACUGCUCCACUGACGUGUGCUCAGUGUCUGCCUUGUUUAUAACAGCCCAGAGGCAAGGAGGAACACAACUCGCCGGCAGUAAGAAUCCUAAUAAGCAUUUUAUUAACACAUUCUGUCACAUUCCUGGGACACAAGAGUCUUCACAACACCAGCCCGUACUGACAGACACCAGAAGAGCUCAAGUGCUCGGUCCUCCAUCUAGUUUAACAACCCCGCACUCCCUUAACAGAGCCAGGCUUGGCGUACUUCACCUGUCCAAUCCCGGCACGGAAACAGGCUUCCCCUCAGGCAGACGCAGACAGUGACGCUGCCUUUUACAAAGAUGGGGGAUCCUUGUGGUUAAACCGGGAUGGAGAAAUCCGCCGCCCAAAAGGGAAUUCAGACUCUUGCUUCUCCAAGUCACUCAUUCCGCUUCUCUCCAGGAAGGGCUGGAAUAUCUUCAGGAUGAGCAUAAGGAUUCCCACUGCCGGAAUAUUCGGAAUACCUUCCUUGAUUUCUCAGAGAGACUCUAUAGGUAGAAAAGCUCAUUGUUAGAGAUUAAAUUCUUUUAUAGAGAUGAAAGACAGGUAACGGCGUUAAGGCUUCGUCUAUAAAUUCCUCCCACAGGGAUCUAGGUACAUCUAGAAUUGAAUAAAACCCAUUUUAUAUUUCGUAUUACUUUAUAUUGUAUACAUAACACACACCUAAAACCAGACUAAAAAUCUGCGUUCUGUCACAAGACUGCUAACAUACUCUGAGCCUCUAACACAUGGCUCAUGUCCUCCCUCCAAGUAUCUUUUUUUUUUUCAACGUUUAUUUAUUUUUGGGACAGAGAGAGACAGAGCAUGAACGGGGGAGGGGCAGAGAGAGAAGGAGACACAGAAUCGGAAACAGGCUCCAGGCUCUGAGCCGUCAGCCCAGAGCCUGACGUGGGGCUCGAACUCACGGACCGCGAGAUCGUGACCUGGCUGAAGUCGGACGCUUAACCGACUGCGCCACCCAGGCGCCCCAUCCCUCCAAGUAUCUUCAUCUGUCCUCAUCUUUGUGAGGCUGACACUCCUGACCCACCAUUAGUGCAGUGCACAUAUCCACCGGUUUCCGAAUUGGCCCUAGUUCGUUAUUUCUUGUGAACAAAGAUUCACAUUCGUGUGAUGCUUCACUGGGGUUAACAGUAUAAUUCAAGGCCAAGGAGUAAAAUAAAUGACUCUUUAGAGCUUAAACUAUGACCCUGGCCUUCUCAGCUUCAUUUUUAGCCAGCAGAGCUAAUAAUAGGAAGACUCUCACCGCCACUUGAUCAUGCCUAUGAAGUGAUCUGAGAUUCUGAGAAAUGGUGUUACAGGGAGACAAAACAAUUCACUAAAAGAUAAAAGUUCUCAGUGAAUCAGAACACGCUGAUCUCUCAGCCUUUGAGAGGCACAAUAAAGAGCACAGGGUCUCAAUGAGAACAUAAAUAAUAAUCUAGCAGAUAAUCCAUAAAGUUAUCUCCAGUUUCUGACAUCAGAUGACAUUUUCACUGUUUUCUCAUCCUCUUUGUGGAUGAAUGUUUCAAUAAAAUAAAAGUCCCGGGGUGGGAGGUGAGGGUGGGGGGAGUUUGAGCUCUUACUAAUGACCAAGGGGAAUUUAGUUAAUACGGUGACAACGUUAAAAGGAACUUAAGUUGAAAAACAACGUAAGCUUUUUUCUAACAUGAGGAUCCUUUGUGUAGCCUCAUUAAGCUCUGAACUUCCCAGUCACAGCAGCUGUGGGAAGGUUAAAAGACAAACCACCAAAAAGGAUCUUAAAAGUCCUGGAAACCAGGGUCAAUUAUGAGGCCAACUUUUCCCACUACAAAAACAAAAAACCCCGUAAAAACCCUGUGGGAUUUCUUGUUAGUAAGACAGUGACAGAGGAGAGUCAAUAAAAACUUCCAGUAUACUAUUUCAUGAAGAUGUAGGCAGAAGAAUUUACAUGCAGACAUUUGUCUUCAGAUAGCUUUAUGUAUUUUCAAAGGUUUUAAAUUAGAAAAACGUAGAUUUUCUUCCUGCAGAAAAACCUGGAAAGCCUUCAUUUGUGUAUUUAAAGGGUACAGAUGUACAUUCUCGGGCUCGCUAUCGUUGUCCCCAGUAGAAUCCCAUGAUCCUGUUGAGCCACGAACCUGGGACCACUUCUUUUAAACGUGUACCGGCAAGUAUUAUUUUACUUUGUCCUUGGAGGUUACGGAAAUCAGAAAUUAUUCUAUUUACACCGUGCUAAGAGGCAAAUUUGGCAAUGAGCCAGCAAAGGAAAGCGAACCCAGUUUCCGUGAUUCCUUAAUGCUUACCCUCCUAUCACUUCCAUCCUUUACACACAGUAAACACGUGACCAGUCUUCUCAGCUGUCACGAUGGAUUUGCAUUUACCCACAUGUGCAGGUAGCAGCAGUCACUACUGCCGUGGCUUGCUGAGGCUCAGGGCACAAGUCUGGGGCUGUGGAACAGAGCCAAGUAACGUGCCCACCGUGAGGAAUGAAAUCGCAAUCUUGGGGUCAGGGCACAGUACUCAGACGGCUAAGCUAACUGGCCAGGCUCCAAACGCAAGUGACAGCAACUGAUAGAAAAAGCAGCUGUUGUGCAACAUGAGGCCGGAACAGCUGCCUCAUCAUCUAGUUCUGGUUCUGUAUUCCUUUUCUACUUUGAAUCACUUUAGUUGAGAAGACAAAGAAUUUACCAGAAUUUGAUGGAAUGGCAAAUGCUAAACUGCAGGAAGACUGAAUCAGUUCCACGCCUGUUCUCCAGGACGAACCCGGACCCAGUCUAACCUGACUUAUGAGAGCUGAGGGCAGGCAGGGUGCUAAUUAUAGGACCAGCCCCUGUUCCUCAUCCCAUAAACAGCGAGUGCUGCACACACAGAGGCAACGGCUUAUCUCACCAUGGAGUCUGUGUCAGCUGGCUGGCUGGACUGCUUGUGGGCCAAGAGGAUGUUCAGCACGGCCUUCCAGCCUGGCUCUGCCGCGGCACUGGCAUCUGCCUCAGUUCUGCCAUCCUCCCUGGUAUCCUGGCCAAAUGUGACAUUCACCCAAGGGCACCAGUCUCUGUGCUGAGAGGUGGGAUCAAAGAAGCUUCGGGAAGAUGUGUCCUGAGAGGAGGAAAAGAAACAGUGCUGAUGAAGGGCAGAGGCCACGUCAAUCCAGAGAGGCACUGCUGUGACUUGUCCAGUUCAGAAUCUCACAACUGCCCGCAUUUCCAAUUUGAUGUCUCCUUUACACACUGCCUAUGUCGGGGCACCUGGGUGGCUCAGCUGGUUAAGCAUCUGACUUUGGCUCAGGUCGCGAUCUCACGGUUCAAGAGUUCAAGCCCCGCAUCAGGCUUGCUGCUGUCAGUGCAGAGCCUGCUUGGGAUCCUGUCUCCCCUCACUCUCUGUCCCUCCCCAGCUCAUGCUCUCUCUCAAAAUAAAUACACUUUAAAAAACAAAUUUGAACACUGCCUAUGUAGUGCCCACUCUCUUUCCAAAUUCUUUCAUUCCCUUUGUGUUAAAUCAACAGCACCUGAUCGGGUAUGUCCUCCCAUCGCCCUGCCAGCCCCAUGUGCGUGAAAUAGUUACUACCUCUGCAGAAUCCAUUCCAAAGAACUGAAAUGACAAACCUCUUCAAGUUUUUUCCUUUUGGUCACCCAACUAUCCCAUCUUGAAACUUACUCACAUUGUCUUCUCACAGCCAAAGGACCACACCUGCUUCUCUGUACUACGCGGUGAGGGUCUGGCGUGCUGUCUGCGCUCCAUGACCUCUACACGCAGGUGGACUCACCGAGCUGCUAGAAGAGCAGAGGCGAGCCCGUUUGGCUCUCCGGAGAGGGCUAGACGGCACUUCCAGGCCAGUGCCGUCUCCUGUUCCCAUACUUCGGGUCACAGGACGAGUUCUGGUGGUGGGGCUAGCAGCCUCUGGCUCAGGACGGUCAACGGGACUAGAAGAGUCCCAGCUCCGAGUUCGGGAGACGACAGGGCCUGGGCUCCUUUCAGCCUGAAGGAAAGAAGAGGGAGGAGAAGUACACCAAUGAUGGAAAUGACUAUGGUCAGAAGACGUAUUUCUAGAAGCAGGUGCAAACAAAUACUUCACAGUUUAAACUGUGAGAAUUUACUUUCUGAACUGUCGACAUAUCUAAACUCUUCAAAAAAUAAUCGAUUUUUAUACAAAAUCAUGAAUUUAGCUUCUGUGUUGCAACUGGUGAAUAAAAACACGCGGUAUUUUGAUCACUGUGGUCAGAACUAAAGCUUCCCCACCUAAGUUAAUCUCCAGCUUUUCCACCACAACACUUUUGGCAAGAACGCUUUUUUUUUUUUAAUGUUCAUGUAUUUAUUUUGAGAAAGUGUGAGAGAGAAAGCAUGCAUGAGCAGGGGGAGAGGCAGAGAAAGAGGAGGAGAGAAUCCCAAGCAGGUUCCUCGCUGUCAGAACAGAGCUUGACGUGGGGCUUGGUCUCAAGAACCACUGAGAACAUGACCUGAGCCAAAAUCAAGAGUCGGAAGCUUAACCAACUGAGACAUCCAGGCACCCCAAGAACGCUUGCUUACUUGCUUUAUUAUUUUAAAUGUUUUUUUAUUUUUGAAGGACAGAGCACGAGCAGGGGAGGGGCAGAGAGAGAGGGAGACACAGAAUCGGAAGCAGGCUCCAGGCUCUGAGCUGUCAGCACAGAGCCUGAUGCGGGGCUCGAACUCAUGAAUCCUGAGAUCAUGACCUGAGCCGAAGUCAGACGCUCAAGUUGGACUGAGCCACCGAGGCGCCCCCGAGAAUGCCGCUUUUAAAAAGGCCACCCCAACAAGCCAAGUAAGUCUAUACCUGCUCGGAGCCAGGGGAAAAUGUGGCAUCCUGACUCCGAGUCAUCAUCCUCCGAGGAGAUUCAGGCACCAGAGGGAAGCGCUCUGCCCGCCCCUCAGGGCCUUGGAUGGGGGAGCUGGUCAGGCCAAACGAUGCAUCCAGUUCAGUCAUGGAAGACUCCAUCUGCUGGAAGCCCCAGAGCCCCACCUUCCUCGUACACUGUGAACAGCUUAUCAAGGAGAGCUGCAUGGGUUCCAGAGAAGAACUAGGUAGGAACAGAAAAAGAGAGUUUUCUCAAAAGGUAACACUUCCAAGGGACUAAGUGUAAUCAUUUGUGAGAAUGCUUUAUCUCAUCAAAUAAGUCUCUGGAACAGUCCAAUGGAUUGGGAAUCAUGGCAUCUCGAGGCCCCUGUCCUCUGAUCUCAGGACCCCAACUCCAGUGUCGCUCACAAAGUUCCUACAGAAAGAUCCAAUGGUCUUGGUGUCAUCUCGAAGGCAAGACUACAUUAAAGGUUAUUUUACAAAUUUCUUCUGUUCCUUUUAAAUGAAAAUAUCCCCGGGGCACCUGGCUGGUUCAGUCGGAAGAGCAUGUAAUUUUUGAUCUCAGGGUCUCGAGUUCAAGCCCCACAAUGGGUGUAGAGAUAACUUAAAUAAACUUUAAAAUAAACAAACAAACCUUAAAUAAAAAAUAUCCCUUGAUCUAUCAAAGAAUGCGUAGUUAAGGUAAAUCAAGAUUGGUUCAAACAGUUUUUUGGUUUUUUAAUAUUUUAUUUUUAAGUUAUCUCUAUACCUAACAAGGCUGGAACUCAUAAUCCUGAGAUCAAGAGUUGAAUGCUCUACCGACUGAGCCAGCCAGGUGUCCCAGUUCCAACAGUUUUCUAUCUCAGAGGGAGUCUAUGCUAAAUUGAGCAGCUGGAAGAGAAAUACCAACAUGGAGGCUCAGAGGACUCUGGCUGACGUUUCCUUUGGUAGUUUUUAUGAACUCAACUGAUUUUUCUUCCUUUCUAUAAACAGAAAGGAGCUUCACUGCUUACAGGAGCACAAAUUCCCAGCUGGGAAGCGAUAGUAAAAAAGAAAAAAAAAAAAAGAAAAGAAAAAAACCAAAGUUCAGGUGUGUCCAAGAAUUCCCGUGUUCUAAUUGUGGAACUAUUACUGAUUCUUAUCAUCCCCUCACCACCCUCUUAGGUUUUCUUUGUCUGCUUUUCUGACAGGAAAACACCAUGUGAUCUACAAAUACUAUCAGUGACUGAUGUAAACCAGUGUAUGACGAUGUCAAAGUUCAUGUCACCCUGCAAAUUCACCGACUGACCUGCAUGCCCAGCCGCACAGAGAGAGGACGCAGGCAGUGACGUGGACUUGGAUGUCUGAGCCUAAUUUGCUUACAGCUUUUCUCUCAUCCGUUCGGUGAUCAAGUUCGUCUUCAAGCAGGUGCAGGAGAAGACUGAUCUUGUCUUCUGUCAAGCACUAUAAAGGAACCAAGGUUCCUUAAAUUAAACGUCCAACCACAAAAAUGACAUAUAAUGAUGUACUUAGAUGGUACAACGCAAAAAUCAUGAAAGAAGUGCCAAACACGAAGACAAUUCUUUUCAUUACGGAAGGCUUACUUCCAGGACAGGGCUAAGGUAUUACAAACCUUUCUGAAUUGCUCUGAAUCUACUGACUGAGAAAGGUAGCAGUUUUCCUAGAACUACUAAA
rnacentral:lncRNA from 1 species